CAAUGUGAGGUUUCAGGAAGUCAGAUACAGCGUAACUAAGACGGUAUCUUAGAGUGUAUUCCUGGCACGCCCGCUGCAGACCAGAAUCUUCCAAACCAGCAGCCAACAAACAGCAAAUACACGGCAGAGUGCAGCUCUCUCAGCACAAAAUGGUGUGUGGACCUGGAAGACGACAGCUUUCUGCAGAGGCAUUUUCAAAUUUCCUUUCCUUUGAGGAGAGAAACUUCUGGAAACAUUCACAGAAAGAGAAAGCACCAUGGCAGAGGAGUCAGGGCACACAGCUAAGGUCACAAGUCCAUCACCGAGGGAAGUCACAACAUCUAGACAGGAACCUGGAGGCAGGAAUUGAAGCAGAGACUACGGAAGAGUGCUUCUUACUGGGUUGUUGCCCAUGGGCUUGCCCAUCCUGCAUUCCUAUUUAUCCUAGGGCUGCCUGGCCAGGAAUGGCACCAUCUACAAUAGGCUGGACUCUUCCAUUUACAUCACUAAGUAAGAAAAUGCUACAGACAUUUUGUAUACAGGCAAAAAUACUCAGAUGGCAGCACGGUUUUGGCAAUUAUGUUUCCAUCUUCUUAAAUGACUCUACCUUGCGUUAAGUUGGCCUGAAACUCAACCAGGACAAGGGGCUUCUAGAAAAGGAAUGGAGGAGGGUCUGACAGCCCCUGGACCACCUGCUACUGAUCUUCCAAAGUGCAGGUGACAUAGAGAAACCUGUUGUAUAGGCAGAGAACUCUUGUCCUGGAAAGUUCUCUCAUCAUACUUUGAACUUGGCACUUCCUGAGUCUUUCUAUGACUUCUUUGUUUCUACAGAUCUUAUCUUCUCGAUUAAUUAAACAAUUUU